AGCGAGCGAAUUAUAGUAGCGAAGUUCCUGAUUCCACACUGCCAAGAAAAGCCUCUAGCGAGGAAAAAGGUGCCCGUACCGCAAACCGACACAGGUAGGCGAGGAGAGAAUCCUAAGGUGAGCGAGAGAACUCUCGUUAAGGAACUCGGCAAAAUGACCCCGUAACUUCGGGAGAAGGGGUGCUCUGGUAGGGUGCAAGCCCGAGAGAGCCGCAGUGAAUAGGCCCAGGCGACUGUUUAGCAAAAACACAGGUCUCUGCGAAGCCGUAAGGCGAAGUAUAGGGGCUGACGCCUGCCCGGUGCUGGAAGGUUAAGAGGAGUGCUUAGCGUAAGCGAAGGUGCGAAUCGAAGCCCCAGUAAACGGCGGCCGUAACUAUAACGGUCCUAAGGUAGCGAAAUUCCUUGUCGGGUAAGUUCCGACCCGCACGAAAGGCGUAACGAUCUGGGCACUGUCUCAACGAGAGACUCGGUGAAAUUAUAGUACCUGUGAAGAUGCAGGUUACCCGCGACAGGACGGAAAGACCCCGUGGAGCUUUACUGUAGCCUGAUAUUGAAUUUUGGUACAGCUUGUACAGGAUAGGUAGGAGCCUUGGAAACCGGAGCGC
rnacentral:rRNA from 1 species